CUGUGCAGACAUCCUUGUGG
rnacentral:misc_RNA from 1 species